UACAGGGGGUGCAAACGUUGCUCGGAAUCAUUGGGCGUAAAGCGCACGUAGGCGGUCUGUUAUGUCGGAUGUGAAAGCCCUCGGCUCAACUGAGGAAGUGCAUCCGAAACUGGCAGGCUAGAGUACUAAAGAGGGUCGCGGAAUUCCCGGUGUAGAGGUGAAAUUCGUAGAUAUCGGGAGGAACACCGGUGGCGAAGGCGGCGACCUGGGACGAUACUGACGCUGAGGUGCGAAAGCGUGGGGAGCAAACAGG
rnacentral:rRNA from 1 species